AAGUCGUAACAAGGUUUCCGUAGGUGAACCUGCGGAAGGAUCAUUAAUGAGUUUUGAUGUGGGCCUCUCGAGCUGGCUUUGCAGGUGCUCAGAGGCUCCCACUCUCAUCCACUCAACCCCUGUGCACUUUUGAACGCAAGUGAGUCGUCAGUUCCCCCUAAGCUGGGAGUGACUUGAUUUGCUUCGUUUAUUACAAACUCUUUAUUAUGUCUUGUAGAAUGCUUUGCCUCUCUGUAGGCGAAAUAUAAUACAACUUUCAACAACGGAUCUCUUGGCUCUC
rnacentral:misc_RNA from 1 species